CUUAUAGCCUGUACUGAUAAUAUUUUGGCUACAUUAUUAUCAUUAUCAUUUUUUUUUUUUUUGUAGGAAUCUUGCACAAACAAUAGAUCCUGGGAGCUGGACUGAAAAGACUGGGCAUGAUAUUGCGGGAUUGCCACGCCAAAACUUUGGGAAUGACUGCGGGAUUUUCAUUCUUAUGUACACCCUUUGCAUUGUGACAGGUGUAGGGUUUGACUUCCAGGAG